GACUUUGUUUACGAGUUAUUAACGAAAAACACUAACCAAUGAGAGGUGACGGCGCGAAGUUCAAGAGCCCGCAGCACAAGGCUUUCAGCGAAACGAGCGGAGGGAUUGUAGGAAUUUUCAAUCUGAGAUCAUCAACGGUGCAUGCAUACGAAAGACCCUGGGUGUAGUUUGACGACCAUGAAAGCCACGUUAUGUGCGGGUCGAUCCUGUUAGUGCACAGAUAUAAAUCCGGCGUGGCGUUUGUGAUGAAGGGAUCGUUCAGGCCCACGAAGGCUGUGCCUUUCCUGCUGGGCCGAUGAUAGAUGAUCUUCCAAAAGAAUUUCGGCACUAACAACGGCUUCGAGUGUCGGUAUGUUAUCGUUAUCACUCGCUGAUUGCCGUGGAUAUCAGCCAUCAUCAUUGCUCCGUGGACACCAGUGUAGACUUCCAGGUCCAAAGACUUAGCCUGCGUGAAGUUCCUGACGGAUGAUUCCAGGACUUCCCAAUUUUUCGAAUUGAAGGUGCUCCAUUGUGGAGCUGCGUUUAGGUAUUGAAAGGUACAGUUCUGCUGACUGCCGUAGACAAAGUCAGCUUUGGCAGUCAGGUGUCCUCGUGAGAGGAACAGUUGCUUGUUCACGCGUUUAGCUGCUGGCGCAUUAGGGCCCAGAAGAUUUUGGAUUACUGUGCGCUGGGUCUCCCAGUAGUAGAGUCGAUCCACAUCCAUUCCAUUGAAGUGGUUCUCUGCUCGCCAUGUUGGUCUGAAAUCAGAAUGGCAUUGUAAUUGCUACAUGAUAAAGUUGAUCAUGGUAACAGUCUAGUUGCAGAUAAUUUCUUUCAACUUUUGCUGCAAAAUCUUGUGUGAGUUUGCUAAGAUUUCUUGUUAAUUGCGAAUAGUCUUUGUAAUCUGUUUCCAAAUUUGCUCAAUCUAUGUGGAAAUAAAUACAGCGAUCCAUCUUGCGAAAUCGUUUUCUUUGCAAACAAUAAGAUCAGUCCAAGCUUCUGUCAAUGUAAGAUUGAUUGCGCUAUCAACUCGUGCUUUAAAAUAGAUUUAUUGAGGUUUGUAAGCGAAUCGAAAAAAUUGACAUUCCUGAAUUAUUGGAUAAUAGAAUCAAGACUGAAGGGCUAAAGGUCAUUGUAGUGUUUUUAUGUUCAAUACGACAAAAUUUAACUUUUAAGAUGAAUGAAAAAUUGUGUCAAUCACAAUGACGAGGAACAUUGUAUCAAUGCAUCGACAGUGUCUUCAAAAUAAGAUAAAUGAUAAAAGAUAAACGAAUUGUGUUAUCAAAAAGAUUCUCACAUACUGAUAAACAUCUUGUGCAUACUUUCUUAAUGGACUGACAACUGUGAUAAGGAACCGAUCUUCCCGUUUGUCAACAACAUAUCAAUGAUGAAAUCUCAAAUCCAAUACGAUUUGUUUUUCUAUAUGUCAAUUAUUACAUUGACCAUUGUCUAUUCGUUAUCUAGCUUAAAUAGAUUAAAUUUUUUAAUUAGCCAUAAUCUGUAGUUCACUGGACAUUGAUAUUGAACAUGACUGAUAGUCUUCAGCAACUAA